UGGGGAAUAUUGGACAAUGGGCGCAAGCCUGAUCCAGCCAUGCCGCGUGAGUGAUGAAGGCCCUAGGGUUGUAAAGCUCUUUCACCGGUGAAGAUAAUGACGGUAACCGGAGAAGAAGCCCCGGCUAACUUCGUGCCAGCAGCCGCGGUAAUACGAAGGGGGCUAGCGUUGUUCGGAUUUACUGGGCGUAAAGCGCACGUAGGCGGACUAUUAAGUCAGGGGUGAAAUCCCGGGGCUCAACCCCGGAACUGCCUUUGAUACUGGAAGUCUUGAGUUCGAGAGAGGUGAGUGGAAUUCCGAGUGUAGAGGUGAAAUUCGUAGAUAUUCGGAGGAACACCAGUGGCGAAGGCGGCUCACUGGCUCGAUACUGACGCUGAGGUGCGAAAGCGUGGGGAGCAAACAGG
rnacentral:rRNA from 1 species